rnacentral:rRNA from 1 species
UAGGGAAUCUUCCGCAAUGGACGCAAGUCUGACGGAGCAACGCCGCGUGAGUGAAGAAGGAUUUCGGAUCGUAAAGCUCUGUUGUUAAGGAAGAACGAGUGUGAGAAUGGAAAGUUCAUGCUGUGACGGUACUUAACCAGAAAGGGACGGCUAACUACGUGCCAGCAGCCGCGGUAAUACGUAGGUCCCGAGCGUUGUCCGGAUUUAUUGGGCGUAAAGCGAGCGCAGGCGGUUAGAAAAGUCUGAAGUGAAAGGCAGUGGCUCAACCAUUGUAGGCUUUGGAAACUGUUUAACUUGAGUGCAGAAGGGGAGAGUGGAAUUCCAUGUGUAGCGGUGAAAUGCGUAGAUAUAUGGAGGAACACCGGUGGCGAAAGCGGCUCUCUGGUCUGUGACUGACGCUGAGGCUCGAAAGCGUGGGGAGCGAACAGG